rnacentral:rRNA from 1 species
CUACGGGCUGCUCCAGUGGGGAAUAUUGGACAAUGGGGGAAACCCUGAUCCAGCAAUGCCGCGUGUGUGAAGAAGGCCUGCGGGUUGUAAAGCACUUUCGGUUGGGAGGACUGCUUCUAGCACUAAUAUUGUUGGAAGUUGACGUUACCUUCAGAAGAAGCACCGGCUAACUCCGUGCCAGCAGCCGCGGUAAUACGGGAGGGUGCAAGCGUUAAUCAGAAUUACUGGGCGUAAAGCGCGCGUAGGCGGCUAGAUCAGUCGGGUGUGAAAGCCCCGGGCUUAACCUGGGAACUGCAUCCGAUACUGUCUAGCUUGAGUACAGGAGAGGAGAGUGGAAUUCCACAUGUAGCGGUGAAAUGCGUAGAUAUGUGGAGGAACACCAAUGGCGAAGGCAGCUCUCUGGCCUGAUACUGACGCUGAGGUGCGAAAGCGUGGGGAGCAAACAGGAUUAGAUACCCCGGUAGUC